UUCUGAUGACCCAGCUUUUUGGUAAGAGGGAAACUGCUUUCACAGAGGAGCAUUGUGGUUCAGAACUUUUAACAAUGAAGCAGCACAGGAAGCCAACACAGUGGCUCAGGACCCUUCCAGAGAAGCACUGGGGAGGCUGUGGAGAGGACCAUGCUCACCUCAGAUUCCUGAAAAGCAGGCACUGAGUGUCUCUGACAUCAGUUCUAAGCUUCUCUCCCUCCUCAGCUGAGAGGACAAAUGGAUUUUGCCAAUAAAAGCUAUUCAGAGUGAAAUGAUCCCAUCAUAAAAUACAUUCAAAGAAAGGAAGAGUGAAGGAAUCCAUAACACCAAGAGAGCUGCAUGGUCAACUCAUGUCACUUCUGUCACCCUGCUGAAUGCCACGUCACACUGCCAAUGCUUGGAAGCACUGACUGCUGGCUUCUGCAAGACUGGAAGGAAAGGAAGACCUGGACACAUUGACUACAUCUCAACUAUUAAACAAAAUUAGUCAGAGAAUUUUCCUGGAGGCCAACUGGCAUGAAAUAGCUUGAAUCCACACAGCUAAACUCUCUUGCCCUCCAAAUCAUGGUGGCCACAUCCAAAGUAUCUAUUGGAGAUGGUGCCUGACCUGGGUCAGUACCCGAGCUGUGCUUUGGCAUUGCCUGGAAGAGCAUUAGCAGGCUUGCACCAAAACCAUGCCAGGGACCAGUUCGGUGGUAUGGAUGGUUUCGGGCCCAUGCCUUGCUGGUCUUUUUUAGUUCAUUUAAUGUCAGAGGGAAACAUCAGUAAUUCUGUCAGGAGUCAACAGGAAACCCCCUUCUGGCCUCAGCAACCAGAAGCUGCCAAGAAGUAUAAUCAUUAGUUGUUCACCUCCUUCACAUUUGGAUUCUUUUUCUCAUUUUAUUUUUUAUCAAAUGAGCACUGAAAAUAUUUGAAAUCUCAUUGAGUAAUAAAAUUGGGCUGCUGUCUGCACAAAACUUGUUGGUUUUGAACUACCAAGAGAUUUUUCACACAAGCCGAGCUUCUGGCAAAGCCAGCUUCAGCUCUCCUCCCCGAUGAAGGGUCUCCUAUGGCUUUGGACAAGUUGCUAAGAGCUUGUGUGACCAGUGCCCUGUUUGGAUAUGGGGUAAAAAGCAAUGAGGUGCUGAGAUAUAAACAUACCAUUUGCUUGAGGCCACAUAAGCAUGCUGAACUGAUGUGAACAUAAAACUCCCUUUGAUUUCUGUGGCAACUUAUUUCACGUGUCUAGGAAGGCAAUUUAUUUUGAACCCUGCAAAAAGGACAUUGAAUAUGUUGUUAUAACAGGAUCUUAUCAAAGUCAGAGCUCUGGGACUGGGGUUGGAUAAGCCUGAAAUGUCCUUCAUACAGUGGGAGGUAGUGGAGAGCUCGUGCUCUGUGUUUCGAGAGCUAACUCUGUGCAAUGGUACCCUGAUUAUGCCAUGGAACUCUGUACUUCACAGUUCUGUGUUGUACUUCUGCCUGCAGCAAUAUAAAUCAGAAUCAGGCAAUUCAUGCCUGAAUCUUUUUCUCUAUUCUGAAGAUAAAUGGCAGUGAAGGCCGAGUAGUUUUAAAGAGCUCAUCGUACAAAAUUAUUGUAUUAGGCCAUGCUGUAUUACCGAGAUUACAGAAAAUUACCUACGUGUAUUGAAUUAAACCAUGAUUUUCCAAUGAUCUCAGCAGCAGCAGCAGAACUGGGACAAUUUAAUCACAGUAUUAUCAGUUUGGUAGGUAACUGCUAUCCUGAAUUGCUGCUCAGAAUGAGAAAAUGGUAUUGUUUUAUCCAGAAACUAGCCCUUAUUUAACUUCCAGCACCAGCACUUACUUUUCUGAGACCUCAGGCAUAUAUCUGAAUUUCUGAAGCUGACAGGUACUGAUGUCAACAACAUUUAGAGCAACGCAUGUUUUUUCUCAGGCUUGCUACUGGAUGAGUGUGCUCUUAAUUAAUGUGGUCAUUUGAUGUACAGCACCUUGCUAAACUAUUAGAACUUGAUUGUGUGCUUUUACCCAGUGCUCCUUUUUGGGUAAAAAGUCUGGUUCAUAAUUUACCUAUUCAUGGAUCAGUCUCAUAAAGGAGGUUGUAGAGAGCCCUACACAUGUGUUGUCAUACCUGGCCCAGGCUGUGCAAAUCUUAUUUAAUGAAAAUGUUAUGAAGCAAAGAAUCAAGUUGUUGACCAGAAUACUCAGAAUACUCAAUACUCAGAAAUUGGUAUGUUUUCCUCUGAGAUGGAUUUUGAAAAGCAGGAAGUAUGGUAAAGCAGAGGAGAAACAUUUAACCUUAUCUAAUUUUGCCUCCCUUUUCCUUCCCUGUUCUGUCUUGCCCCUCAAUCUUCAAGCACUUUCCCAUGGAUGCUUGCAUAUGGCAGUGGCUAUACUCAGACCUACUGAGACCAGUGCAUCAGUUAAGGUUUGUAAGACCAUAAUGUGUUUAUUUUUACAGUCUGAUCUUGUGAGAAACUGAGGAGGUCUUGCAUCUCCCUCCUACUGAUAACAGUGGUGUUGAAAGAGCUCAGUGCAUUCCAGGGCAAAGCCUUGGAGGCUGUGGGUUAGAGAGCUGCUAACUCUCCUUUGGAAGUACAUGCAGAUUCCUUUGGCCUUCAGUGGGGGAAAGCCUGGCUCCCCACUAAAGAAAAAGAAAAGUAAACAAUAAAAACCUAAGAUACAAACCCCCAACACAAUAGUUGUGGUGGUCCAAAUAAAACAUAAAAACCCCUGUCUCAGCCCAAGCAAUCAGUCUAGGGAGGCUUUGGAAUUAGGGGCUUGAAGCUCAACCCAGGGAUGAGUCCAUGGUGUCUUUGUGGAAGAAGGGUACAGGCUCUGGCCAUGCUCAAGUGGGCUUUGGUGUGCAAGGCUGUAGCCCAGUGGCCUGGGCUGGUAGUCCCAGCCGGCUGGCUCAGUGCUCAUGCACCCUGUACAGGCUCUGAGCUGUGCUCUGCUCCAUCACCCCAGGCUUCAUCUCAGGCUCUUUUUGACACUCUUUGGCUGUUUUAAAGCUGGAUCCUUUCAGCUUAUAUUCUCUCUCAAACAAUUCCCUCUCCUCCCCCCCACCCCUUCUCUACUUCCACAACUGAACUCACUUUUCCAAACUGCCCAUUCCACCAUCUAUCCACUCCAUAUGUUUAUAUUUUCCUAUUGCUGAGGCACAGCAUGCUGACCUGCCUGGACAGAGCUCCUUUAUCACAGAGAUAAACAUGAUGUCCCCCUCACAUAGAGUUUCUAUCAUGUGUGACCUUUCAUCUUGAACUGCCAUGACCUUUUUUUUAUUAAUGCUGUACUGUGCUGCUCGCAGAAGCCAGGAAAGAAAAUCUUUUGUUUCUAGAUAGAAUACUGCUAAAGGACAUGAUACGGUCUUGUUUUUAAUCCAGCUAAUUAAAAUCUGCAUGUGCAGUGUAACUGAGAAUGCAGCCUUCGCCCACCACUUUCCCACAGGCAGGGAAUAAAGGCCUUUAGUGCAGCAGCAGCUAGCCACCCUUGGAUAACAGAGAACAGAGACCACAAUUCAUCCCAGCUUUCCUUAUCAUAUUCGCAGAGGGCUUUCCCCUCCCUCCCUCUUUCCCUCCCCCUCUCUCUCCAUGGAAUCACUUACUGUAGCUAUGUGCCUCUAUAUAUCA